UACGGGGGGGGCAAGCGUUGUUCGGAAUUACUGGGCGUAAAGGGCUCGUAGGCGGCCAACUAAGUCAGACGUGAAAUCCUUAGGCUCAACCUAGGAACUGCGUCUGAUACUGGAUGGCUUGAAUCCGGGAGAGGGAUGCAGAAUUCCAGGUGUAGCGGUGAAAUGCGUAGAUAUCUGGAGGAAUACCGGUGGCGAAGGCGGCAUCCUGGACCGGCAUUGACGCUGAGGAGCGAAAGCCAGGGGAGCAAACGGG
rnacentral:rRNA from 1 species